rnacentral:ncRNA from 2 species
UAACCAUCGAGAGAAACUGAGGGACUGGCCCUAUGAAGUUUCAGCAACCUGUCAUCAGAUGUGGUGCUAAUUCCAGAUAGAUGGAAG